AGCUUUCACUUCUUUUUUUUCAAAAAUAUCUACAUAAACAGAUAGAUUUACGUAUAUGUUAAGGUGUUAGAAGGUUUAGGCAAGGAUUUCUUGGAGCUACACCUUAACAUACACUAAAACUCCAUCAUUUUCAAGGGUUUACUAGCUUGGUAUGAUUCUCAACUUUACUAGUCGGGAAUUAUUUUGGACAUUUGGUUUUGCUAGCUUACGCACGGAACGCAAUUUGUGA
rnacentral:lncRNA from 1 species